GUUGGUGGCUUAGAGGCCACAGCAGAAGCACUCACGGCGCAGCCCUGUCAGAUUCCAACAAAUUUGUGCUUUCUGCU
rnacentral:ribozyme from 1 species